UUGAGUUCUUCUGUUGAUCAGUUGAUAAACAUUAGGGUGUUCCCAGUUUUUGGCGGUUAUAAUACUGCUGUGAACUUGAUGUACGUUUUUUGUUCAGACAUGUUUUCUGUUUUUUAGGUCAUGUACCUGGGAGUGGAAUUGCUGAGUCAAAUGGAUUAUCAGGACCCAGGACUGAGGUGGUGCUGGUGGCCAUCGGGGAAGCCGCUGUCAAGAUCCUGUUCCUCCUCCUCUGCCUCAUCGUCCUCAUAGCCAGGUACCACAGGAGGAAGGCUCGAGGCCCCAAAGGAGCACAGAGGAUGCAAACAGUCUCAGGUUAA